rnacentral:rRNA from 1 species
AAAUGAGUGUUAGAGAGCGAUGAAGAAAUGUUUAGGAAAUUUGGGAGAAGAUGUCUGGUAGAUAUCCCCUCCGACUGCCGUUCCGUAAGGAAGGAGCAGAUGACAUUUUUGGCAAGGUAAGAACGUGUGUGAGUGUGGAAGGGACACGAAAAAGAUCCGCCCUGCUCUUUCCUUUCCCAUGGGACGAGGAAGGAGUAUGUCGUCUUGAUCUGUACCUUCCCUUCCUACCCCUUGGCAUUUUUGCUCACAGAAAACUUCGGACAGGGAAGGAACCAAGACGUGUAGUCGCUCCUGCCGCAUAGAAAAUAAAAUGCCGAGCAAAAUUUCUAAGUCCACGUCUUCUGCCACAUAGAAAAUAAAAUGCCGAGCAAAAUUUCUAAGUCCACGUCUUCUGCCGCAUAGAAAAUAAAAUGCCGAGCAAAAUUCCUAAGUCCCACGUCUUCAGAGAUCUGUCUAAUAUAUACUUUAAGGGGUUGAAUCAUUUCUCCCAUGGCUCUUCGGUGUGAUGAGUUAAGUACUAGUAACAAAGCAAAUGUUCCGUAGGUGAACCUGCGGAAGGAUCAUUACCGAGUUAGGGUUCUCUCCCGAGGCCCGACCUCCCAACCCUGUGUCUAAUAAACCUGUAUGUGUUGCUUCGGCGGACCGGCAGUCCCCUCACGGGGGUCCGUCGCCGGGGGGAGAACGGUCUCACAGGCCGCCCCUGGAGAGUGUCCGCCGAUGGCCCAACCAAAAAAACUCCCAAACCCAAACUGUCGUACCUAAAACUUCUGAAUCAGACUUUUUUUGAUGUACCAAUCAAAACACAAAACUUUCAACAACGGAUCUCUUGGUUCUGGCAUCGAUGAAGAACGCAGCGAAAUGCGAUAAGUAAUGCGAAUUGCAGAAUUUCCGUGAGUCAUCGAAUCUUUGAACGCACAUUGCGCCCUUUGGCAUUCCGAAGGGCAUGCCUGUUCGAGCGUCAUUAUCCUCUCUCAAACCUCGGGUUUGGUGUUGGACCGCGUUGGACCGGCCCACGGCCAACUGGUCUCAAAGACAAUGACGGCGUCCCAGGGACCCUCUUCGCACUGAGCUUUCCGGAGCACGCGUCGAGUUUUCACGGGCCCAGGGACCCGGUCACCCCUAAAAUUUCUUAAGGUUGACCUCGGAUCAGGUAGGAAUACCCGCUGAACUUAAGCAUAUCAAUAAGCGGAGGAAAAGAAACCAACAGGGAUUGCCUCAGUAACGGCGAGUGAAGCGGCAACAGCUCAAAUUUGAAAUCUGGCCUCACGGUCCGAGUUGUAAUUUGUAGAGGAUGUUUUGGGCACCGCUCCGGGUUAAAUUUCUUGGAACAGAAUGUCAAAGAGGGUGAGAGUCCCGUCUUGGCCCGCGGUAGGACCUAUGUAAAACUCCUUCGACGAGUCGACUUGUUUGGGAAUGCAGGUCAAAAUGGGUGGUAAAUUUCAUCUAAAGCUAAAUAUUGGCCAGAGACCGAUAGCGCACAAGUAGAGUGAUCGAAAGAUGAAAAGCACUUUGAAAAGAGAGUUAAACAGUAUGUGAAAUUGUUGAAAGGGAAGCGCUGGCAACCAGACUCGAGCGCGGUGUUCCCCCUUGCUUCUGCCUGGGUUAUUUCACCGUGACCGGGCCAUCAUCAGUUUUGGGGGUUGGUUAAAGAUUUGGGGAAUGUAUCCUCUCCUUCGGGGGAGGACUUAUAGCCCUGGAUGUCAUGCAGCCUCCCGGGACUGAGGAACGCGCUUCGGCGAGGAUGAUGGCGUAAUGGUUGUCAGCGACCCGUCUUGAAACACGGACCAAGGAGUCUAACAUCUAUGCGAGUGUUCGGGUGUCAAACCCUUGCGCGGAAUGAAAGUGAACGGAGGUAGGAAGGCUUGAGCCUGCACUAUCGACCGAUCCUGAUGUCUUCGGAUGGAUUUGAGUAAGAGCAUAGCUGUUGGGACCCGAAAGAUGGUGAACUAUGCGUGAAUAGGGUGAAGCCAGAGGAAACUCUGGUGGAGGCUCGCAGCGGUUCUGACGUGCAAAUCGAUCGUCAAAUUUGCGUAUAGGGGCGAAAGACUAAUCGAACCAUUGGUAAUCACUACUAGGUGGUUAAGAGUCGUGUGUGAAAAGCACCGGCUAGUCGCGAGUCCGCGGCAAGGUCGUCAAAUUGCGGGAACACCCUAAAGCCUGAGGUACCGCCGACCGUCCCGAAAGGGCGUGGAGGCACCACGGAGAGAUUUCGUGGGUACGGUAACAAUCCAAGGGAUGGUCCAAGGUUCAAAACCCUGGACCGCUGUAAUGGGCAAUCCGCAGCCAAGCCUGUUUCCCUCCCCUCCCCGGGGGAAAGGAGAUUGGGUGCAGUUCAUCGACUAGAUGUCGACCGGGUUCCAGGCCCAUCGCAGCCUGGAGCCUCAAGAUAUAGUCAGGCCCUCGGGGAGACCCGAGCGGAGGAACAAAGUAAAGCGGGUCGGACUCUUUUUCACACAAGAAGCCCGCUGUACCCGAAUUCCUCCUGGCCGGUCUUUGAGAGGCCGGUGAUCAA